rnacentral:tRNA from 1 species
GCCCCCGUGGCGGAAUGGUAGACGCGCUCGACUCAAAAUCGAGUGUCGAAAGACGUGUCCGUUCGAGUCGGACCGGGGGUACCA